AAAAAAAGACUAGUUUGUGGGUAUGUGUGUGUGCGUACGGGACAAAGAGCAGGAAGGGGGAAACCCUUCUCCAUCAAGCUUUGCAAGAAAUCCAAGAAAUUAAGGAGGAUUAAGGCUAGGUCUUUGAUGCAUGAGUUUAGAUUCAUGAUUCCUUAAGUGUUCUUGACAUCAAGGAUCAUGUCGAGACGGAAUCAAGCACGGAAGACUACGGGUCAAGAAGUGUCGAGGAAACAAAUAUGAACACGGAUGCAUGAGGUUAUACGGAUAACGGGCGAAUUAUCACAAGAAUUAGAGAUCGAAGACCGAGUCACGAGAUAGAUUGUACGGGAAUAAUUAAGUAUGUACUAUUAGUAAACAUGACUUAUA